UUGUAUGUAAAUGAUUUCAGGCC
rnacentral:piRNA from 1 species